rnacentral:rRNA from 1 species
GAUGAACGCUGGCGGCGUGCCUAAUACAUGCAAGUCGAGCGAACAGAUGAGGUGCUUGCACCUCUCACGUGAGCGGCGGACGGGUGAGUAACACGUGGAUAACCUACCUAUAAGCGGGGGAUAACUUCGGGAAACCGUAGCUAAUACCGCAUAAUAUUUUGAACCGCAUGAUUUAUUCUUAAAAGACGCUUUUGCAUCCAUUUAAAAUGGAACCGCGUUCUCUUUGCUGGUUGGUAAGGUAACGGCUUACAAAGGCAACCUACCGUAACCGACCUGAGAGGGGUAUCGGCCCCCCUGGAACUGGGACCCGGUCCAGCCUCCUACGGGAGGCACAAGAAGGGAAUCUUCCGCAAUGGGCGAAAGCUUGACGGAGCAACGCCGCGUGAGUGAUGAAGGUCUUCGGAUCGUAAACCUCUGUUAUUAGGGAAGAACAAAUGUGUAAGUAACUAUGCACGUCUUGACGGUACCUUAUCAGAAAGCCACGGCUAACUACGUG